UACGAAGGGGGCUAGCGUUGUUCGGAAUUACUGGGCGUAAAGCGCGCGCAGGCGGUCCUUUAAGUCAGGGGUGAAAGCCCAGAGCUCAACUCUGGAACUGCCUUUGAAACUAGAGGACUUGGGUACGGGAGAGGUGAGUGGAAUUCCGAGUGUAGAGGUGAAAUUCGUAGAUAUUCGGAAGAACACCAGUGGCGAAGGCGGCUCUCUGGGACGGUACUGACGCUGAGACGCGAAAGCGUGGGGAGCGAACAGG
rnacentral:rRNA from 1 species